rnacentral:lncRNA from 1 species
UUGCAAGAAGUGCUUUUUCUCUCCUAUACUUAGCAACCCAAGAGUUUGAACUAUCUCUUAAAUCAGCAACAGCAGAAGCAACAUUUGGGUCAGUUUUAUCCAUUGUUAUGGUUGUUCUCACCUUGCUUAUUACUUCCUCUGUUUCUUUCACGUACUCUUCAUCUGUAGCAGCAAAUGCAGGGGUCACGUGGAUGACAAAUGUGGUGGCGAUGAUGGAGGAGGUGGUAGAUAGGAAUUCACGCCGGCGUUGGUGUACGGUGGUGGUGGUGGUGGUUGGUGUUAAGGUGACGGAGAUGGUGGUUGGUUUGGUUUUGAUGGGUGGGAGAGAUUUGGGUGUGGAUGUGGGAGUUAUGAGUGUUGGAGAGGCCAUGGUGGUGUUGAGAGAGAGAGAGAGAGAGAGAGAGAGAGUGGGAGAGAGAGAUUUUGUGAUGUGUUUGUAAGAAUUGGAACAAGUAUUGGGUUAUUGCCACGUGGGCUUAUCGUCUUAUCUUUGGUUUUGGUUUUUGGAUGAGAAAGCAACCAAUGGUUUGUAAGGUAUAGAUCCAUGUUCUAACGUGUCAUCAUAGACUUCUUGUGAUGGAACAAAUCAAAUUCAAUAAUUCAACUCUACUUCUAAAUUCAAAAUAACAUUAACUAUGUGUAGAUUAAUACUUUAAAUCGUUUGAAAGUGUAAAUUUUUUGAAUAAUUUUAAGUUAAUAUUUAUAUUUUUUAAUUGAUUAGUUUAGACAAAUUCUUUUGUUUAGUUUAAAGAAAGUUAAAAUUGACAAAAAGAAAUAUUUAUCUCAAUAUUAUUAUAAAGAAAAAUAUUACUUUUAUUAUUUAUAUAAAAAUUAGUUAAACAUAAUUAAUGUUUACAAAUCAAUUUUAUUAAAUUAUUUUUUUAAUGUUAAAUGUUUGAUUAUAUGCAUUAAAUACUUUUGAAAUAAAUAAAUAAUAUAUUAGAAAUAAUAACAGUAAAUGAUGUCAAUUUUUUUUUAUACUAAUGAUCAAAAUUUAAUUUUUUUUGUUUUUUUUUUAUUAAUGGUGACCCUAUUUUUUAGAAGUUUUUCUUUUCUUUUCUUUUACUCUAAGUAUUGGAGGAGUUUUGAGAUUGUACCAUAUGAUUGGAAAAACUCUCUCAUACUCAACAUUUUAGGAAAUUUUAUCUUGGGCUACCACCUUAUAUCUAUACCCUACAAAAAUUUUAGAAUUUCAAUUUUACCUUUGAAAUUCUUUAUUAUUUUAUACAUUUAAAUUUAUCUUUUUUUCAUCAUUCGAAAUUUUUUGGAUCAAUCAAUCUAAAUUUUUCAAUAUGUAAAAGAUUUUUAGUAAUUAGUAGAAUUUUUUUUAUAAAAUUUCUGAUAUAAAAUUUUGAAAAAGCGCGUAUCAAAAAUGUAUGGUUUCAAGUUUGUUGGUAGUUAUCAAAAAUAUUUUUUAAAUUUUUUGAUAGUUUUAAAAAAUUUUAAAUUAGUUUGAAGGUAAAGAGGUUUGUAUCAAAAAAAAAAAUUCUGGUUAAAUAAAAAAAAAAGUUAACACUCAUUUAUGUAUCAGAAAAAUAAAAUGAUAUUUUAAAUAAAAAUAACAACUUUUAAUAUUUAUAUAAAAUCAAAUAUAUCAAUUCAUUACAUUUGUGGGGUAGGAGUCUAAAAUGGGAGGUACAUGUUAUAAUUUCCAAUAUUUUAUAGACAGAAGAAGGCCCAAUUGUUGCUUCCCUCAAAUAUUUAUUUAUUGGGUCCACUUAAAAAUAUAGCUUAAAACAUUGAGACCUAUUAGUAUCAUAUUUUUAAAAUUUUGUAUCUCAUACCCCACUACCCCACAUUUUAGUUAAACUACUUAUUUUUCUUUUUAUUAAAAAAAAUAUAAUAUGUUUUUUCACUCCACCAAAUUCAACUUUGUAUUUUUAUUAUUUUUUCAAAAUACAAAUUUGUAUUUAAAAAAUUCAAACUUUACGUUUGAAUUUUUUUUUAAUAAAUUUUUACAUAACACAUUGUGUUUUGAAUAACUUAAAAAAAUUCAGAAUACAAAUGUAUUUUGAAAAGUUUAAAAUUUGAGUUUUUUAAAAUUAAAAAUGUUAAAAUUGAAUUUAUUUUUUAAGUGGGAGCAAGGUAUAAUUUAGUGAAUAAGAGGUAAAACUUUCCAUUUUUCUAAAUGUCCUUUUAAAAACUCCGAACUACUUUACCUCAAAUUAAAUACCAAAUAUUUAUCACUGGAAUCUAAUGCAAGUAAUUGACAUGUUAACAAAAUUAAGUAUUUAGAUUACAUUAACAAUCUAAUAUUGAACUUUGUUGGGUAAAAAGUGGUUUGUAGGUUGUGUUGCAGCUUCUGUUGUUGGUGCAUCAAUCUGUCCCAACCGUGUGUUUGCCCAUGAUGCACACAUUCGAUGAGAAAGGUAACGUUGGGUGGCGAUUGGCUCAACUGGUUCGGAAUUAAUAUAGUGAUACCAAAGGUAACGUUGGUUUGUUUUUACAAUGGAUCAAACCAUCUAUGAGUCCAUUGAAAUAUAAUAUUGAUGCUCUUCUCUCGCCAUACAAACUAUGUUGGUUUAGGUAUUUGAAUUUGGGACGAGAUUGGUAGUUUUGAUUUGACUAAAAUAAAUUAGAUAUUUAUGAAUUUUUUUUGUAAAAAAACCGAUAUAACAUUGCACAAGUCCUCUAAUUAGGAAUUAAUCAGUUUUUGCCUUCUACAUAAAUCGAAUUCAUAACUAAGAGAAAAGUAAUCUCCAUUCAUUUUUACUACCAAUUUCAGUAUCAUGUAGUAUCUUAUAUAAACAAAAAAAGUGAUUCACCAUCUUUUAAGAAAAUUAGUUGAGUUUAUCUAUUUUUCUCAUACCCUACAAAAAUUUUAGAAUUUCAAUUUUACCUUUGAAAUUCUUUAUUAUUUUAUACAUUUAAAUUUAUCUUUUUUUCAUCAUUCGAAAUUUUUUGGAUCAAUCAAUCUAAAUUUUUCAAUAUGUAAAAGAUUUUUAGUAAUUAGUAGAAUUUUUUUUAUAAAAUUUCUGAUAUAAAAUUUUGAAAAAGCGCGUAUCAAAAAUGUAUGGUUUCAAGUUUGUUGGUAGUUAUCAAAAAUAUUUUUUAAAUUUUUUGAUAGUUUUAAAAAAUUUUAAAUUAGUUUGAAGGUAAAGAGGUUUGUAUCAAAAAAAAAAAUUCUGGUUAAAUAAAAAAAAAAGUUAACACUCAUUUAUGUAUCAGAAAAAUAAAAUGAUAUUUUAAAUAAAAAUAACAACUUUUAAUAUUUAUAUAAAAUCAAAUAUAUCAAUUCAUUACAUUUGUGGGGUAGGAGUCUAAAAUGGGAGGUACAUGUUAUAAUUUCCAAUAUUUUAUAGACAGAAGAAGGCCCAAUUGUUGCUUCCCUCAAAUAUUUAUUUAUUGGGUCCACUUAAAAAUAUAGCUUAAAACAUUGAGACCUAUUAGUAUCAUAUUUUUAAAAUUUUGUAUCUCAUACCCCACUACCCCACAUUUUAGUUAAACUACUUAUUUUUCUUUUUAUUAAAAAAAAUAUAAUAUGUUUUUUCACUCCACCAAAUUCAACUUUGUAUUUUUAUUAUUUUUUCAAAAUACAAAUUUGUAUUUAAAAAAUUCAAACUUUACGUUUGAAUUUUUUUUUAAUAAAUUUUUACAUAACACAUUGUGUUUUGAAUAACUUAAAAAAAUUCAGAAUACAAAUGUAUUUUGAAAAGUUUAAAAUUUGAGUUUUUUAAAAUUAAAAAUGUUAAAAUUGAAUUUAUUUUUUAAGUGGGAGCAAGGUAUAAUUUAGUGAAUAAGAGGUAAAACUUUCCAUUUUUCUAAAUGUCCUUUUAAAAACUCCGAACUACUUUACCUCAAAUUAAAUACCAAAUAUUUAUCACUGGAAUCUAAUGCAAGUAAUUGACAUGUUAACAAAAUUAAGUAUUUAGAUUACAUUAACAAUCUAAUAUUGAACUUUGUUGGGUAAAAAGUGGUUUGUAGGUUGUGUUGCAGCUUCUGUUGUUGGUGCAUCAAUCUGUCCCAACCGUGUGUUUGCCCAUGAUGCACACAUUCGAUGAGAAAGGUAACGUUGGGUGGCGAUUGGCUCAACUGGUUCGGAAUUAAUAUAGUGAUACCAAAGGUAACGUUGGUUUGUUUUUACAAUGGAUCAAACCAUCUAUGAGUCCAUUGAAAUAUAAUAUUGAUGCUCUUCUCUCGCCAUACAAACUAUGUUGGUUUAGGUAUUUGAAUUUGGGACGAGAUUGGUAGUUUUGAUUUGACUAAAAUAAAUUAGAUAUUUAUGAAUUUUUUUUGUAAAAAAACCGAUAUAACAUUGCACAAGUCCUCUAAUUAGGAAUUAAUCAGUUUUUGCCUUCUACAUAAAUCGAAUUCAUAACUAAGAGAAAAGUAAUCUCCAUUCAUUUUUACUACCAAUUUCAGUAUCAUGUAGUAUCUUAUAUAAACAAAAAAAGUGAUUCACCAUCUUUUAAGAAAAUUAGUUGAGUUUAUCUAUUUUUCUCAAAAUAAUACAAAAAGUAAUUGAGUUCACUAAAUAGUCUCUCAUUAAAACUUUUUUCUUUGAGAAUAAAAGAAAUUAUUGAAAAAUAAAAUUUCUAUAAAUUAAUUUUUUUAUACAGAAAAAUUAGCUUUAUUCAAAUACUAAGGUAGCUCAUUUUUCUACCCUGAAUGCCCUCUAAACUUGUCAAUGAGUUGUAUUUUAUGGGUUUUUGAGAACAUACAGAAUGAAAAAAAGAAACCAUCAAAUAUUAUAAAUGAAAAGAGGACAAUCAAAUUCAUCAUGGUUUGAAAUAUUUCCCAUUCAUAUUUUGAAAUCAAUAAGGAAAAAAAAAACAAGCUAACUAUAUACAUAAAUGAAAAAUUACCAAAUCAAAUUUUAAUCCAAACAACCGAACUAAUUUCUUUUACAUAUGAUCAAUAAUAAAAAAUAACGUAAGAUUUAUAAUUUUUAAUCUCAUCUAUUUAUGAAAAAAUAUUUUUUAAUAAUGAUUCAUGUUGACUAGAUAUGGUAUUUGACUUGGCCAAUUCAAUUACUUGAUGACAAGUCAUAUGUAAAGUCAAGAGGAUGUUGAAUU